rnacentral:lncRNA from 1 species
AAAGAAAGUCUAUGUGUAGGAGUUGAUUAGUGGUUGAGAGGUUGAUGAGAUGAUCAAUUCUCUCUUCUUUUUUCCGUGUAUCUGCAAAAUAAAUAGCCUGUAAAUUUACCAAUACCAGAGUUACAUGAUGAAGUUGAGGUUGUUAUAUAUGUUGAUCCAUUGGAAACUAAGCAGCUUAAUGGAAAAAAAAAAUGAAUCAAAAGAGCAUCUAUAACUGAUGAUUUUAGUGGAAGAGAACAACAAACAGAAGAAUUUGUUUGGAAGUUUGAGAAAGACGCAAGAAGAUUAGAGGCGGAUGAAUUCUAGCCUUAAGUUGGAGAACGGUGAACAUCCAUAAACUGAUCUUCUCCUGAGCAACCUAGUCACUACUCCAAGAUGGUAUAGGUGGAUUUCCACUUAUAACGACCUUUUUUCUUCUAAGUAAUAAUUUGCAGCA